AACUCCAUUGACGUUUCUUACGUUGAAUCCCUUCUUGUUGUUGUCGUAAUAAAUUUCUGAAAUAAAAUCGCUCCUGUCUUUCCUUUACUUGUUGAUUCCUUCUUUGAUUAUCAUAGUCAUAAUCACCGCUCAUACUCCUUCGAUCUCGUCUUUUGUACCAUCAAAUCUUUAACAUUUCAUACUGUUGUCAAUCCCCGGCAGCGGCGCCAAAAAUGUAAUCGUCGUUUGACUCGGACUCAAAACACCAAGAUAUUUGAUCAGUAUAGGUGGAUUCGAUCUCGAGAAAAGACUCGUUGUAUGAAUUGGAUAUGUUAUGUCACAAUUGAUU
rnacentral:lncRNA from 1 species